rnacentral:rRNA from 1 species
AUUGAACGCUGGCGGCAGGCCUAACACAUGCAAGUCGAGCGAGCGGCGGACGGGUUAGUAAUGUAUGGGGACUGCCCGAUAUAUGGGGAUAACUCCUGGAAACGGUAGCUAAUACCGCAUACUAUCGGAUAACCCAUAGGGGAGUCGCUAGUAGGUGAGGUAAGGGCUCACCUAGGCGACGCUCCCUAGCUGGUCUGAGAGGAUGAUCAGCCACACUGGGCCUGAGACGAGGCCCAGACUCCUACGGAGGCAGCAGUGGGGAAUAUUGCACAAUGGGCGCAAGCCUGAUGAAGCCAUGCCGCGGGUAUGAAGAAGGCGCUAGGGGUGUAAAGUACGUUCAGUCGGGAGGCGGUAGCGACAGAAGAAGCACCGGCUAACUCCGUGCCAGCCGCCGCGGUAAUUC